GAGAAGAAGAGAGAAAGAGAGAGAGAAAGAAAAGAGAGAGAGAGAGAGAGUGAUUCCAAGGCCAGACUCCUCCCUUUGGCAGCCCAAACUGCCAACUCCUGGGAACAUUCCAUUUGGAACUCUGGUUCUUGAUCGACAGAUGAUCUUCAGCCCUGGUUCCUGCAUCUUGGCUUAUACAUUCUCUCUCCCCCCCAUGCCUAUACUACAAGGACAACAACCAGCCAACCUUUAUAGAACUCUCUAGAUUUGCAAUAAUCUUUUAUACUGGUCAGCAUUUUCUGUGAUUUACAAAUCUCUCUAGGUUUAGGUCCUGAACUGGGCUUUGGGCCAGGGGGCUCAGACCACCUGGUCACUGUUUUUCUUCUCUUCCAGGAGUUUCCUGGGGUUUUCUCAGAGGAACUGUACACUCACUGUUUCUAGACCCAGACCAUUAUAGGCUACUUAUGCUUUGUCUCUAGCUGAGGUAAACUUAUCAAACAAAGAACAGAAAAAGAUUAUAUUUGAAACUACAUCUCUGCUAUGUAUUGCUCAUUUUAAGUAUAUAAUAAAUUCAGCAUUAGUCCCAUAGCUGCCCUCUUUGGUCUCCCUCUGAACCAUCUGAUCUCUUCAGCACAUUUAAAAAAAGACUUCAUUGAUGCUUUUUUCUUUAUUAAAGAUCACUACGACUAUCUCUUUUUUCAUUUUUAUGAUAUAAUAAAGCUCUAUUACUUUGGUAGACCAAAAUAUGCAUAAGCCAUCCCCCAAUUAAUGGACAUCUACUUUGAUUCUAGUUCUUUGCCACAACAAGAAAUGCUGUUAUGUUGUUUUUUAAUUAACAAAAAUGUACUUAUUCUUUCUCCCCCAUGUCCCCCCUCCAUGAAGAAAGAAAGAAAGAAAGAAAGAAAGAAAGAAAGAAAGAAAGAAAGAAAGAAAGAAAGAAAGAAAGAAAGAAAGAAAGAAAGAAAGAAAGAAAGAAAGAAAGAAAGAAAGAAAGAAAGAAAGAAAGAAAGAAAGAAGAAAGAAAGAAAGAAAGAAGAAAGAAAGAAAGAAAGAAAGAAAGAAAGAAAGAAAGAAAGAAAGAAAGAAAGAAAAAAUAAAUGGAAAAUGGAACAGAUUUGGAAGCAUUUUAGCAGCCCUUCUUGUCAAUGA
rnacentral:lncRNA from 1 species